CAAGCAUCCAGUUCUCUUGUUAAAAACACAAACGGUCAUAUGAGACCUAACCUAAGCUUCCACCACAUAUGAUGUACUAACUUGAUUCAUUCAAAUCAUACCUCGGUAAUGAAGACACAAAAUACAGCACACAAAACAUCCCACAUUUUUAGGCUUUGGAGAGGAUUGACAUAUGCAGCCUUACCCCUGCUUUGCAUUACACCAAUACAGCUAAAUUUACUCUACUCAAGAUGUUGGUGCUAUUAGCAAGAACAAUGUUUUCUGGAUGCUGUAAAUAAACCCAGAAAGGAAACAGAUAUCGUCACUUCAGGACCAAAUGCCAGUAGCACAGAAUGCCAUCAGCUUAAAGUUUACAUGAUUUAGAAACAGAGGAGAUCAAAGCUAUUACAAGCCCUAACAAAAAUAAUGUAAAUAAGUAGUAUAGUAAAAUUCCAAGAUGGUUGAAACACAAUUAGUUCAUUCUAAGUCUUGCAUAAAGCAAAGCCACAGGCUAGCAUAUCACCUCUUCCUUUUCUUAUUUCCUGGCGCCCCACCUUUGUCGAAGCCCCUAAAAUUGUCAGCAGUAUCUGCUGUGUUCUGCUUCUUCAAGCCUUUCCUCCCACCAAAUCCAAAUUUGGAGUUCCUUGCUUCCCUUUUCAUCUGUUGCUUCUCCAGUCUUUUUUUGCCUCCCUUUUUCCAAUCUUGUUUUGCUUUCCCUCCAGACCGAUCUCCUGGAGAUACCCCUGGCCUCUUCUUGCUUGGCCUUUCAAAUACGUUCCCAUCCUCAAAGGACAAAUUCAUUUCACCAUCUUUAUCGCCUCUGGCAAAACCACUUUGCUGCCUUUGCUUCCUCCACUUCUUAACAGUCUCUAUGUCCAUUUUCUUCUGCAUAGCUCUCUCUUUCAGUUUUUGCGUCUGAACCUCUUUAGCAAGCCUCUUUGCUUCUCUAGCCUUCCUUCUUUCCUCAGACUCUUCAAUGUUUCUCUUCUCAGCCAAAAGCCGACCCUUCACCUUCUCCAUGUGAGCAUCUGAUUUCACCAUUUCAGCAUAAUAAUCAGGAGGCCUCAGAAAAGGAAGCCCCAUUGACUCAAGCUUCUCAAAGGCCUGCCUUGUUCCCCCCAAUGCUUGUGUGUAAAAAGCCAACUCUCGUGCCAGGUCAUCAUUCACAUCCACUUCUUGUUCUUGAUCAAUGUCAACAGAAAGCUUGUGUAUCCAUCCCACAUCUUCUGGCCAGCUAAUAUCUUGAAGUUUGUCAUUGAGACCAUCUCUGUUGUAUAUGGCAUUCUGUGAAGGUAUAGACAACUUUGCAUCUUCUUCCUCUGAUUCGGACUCAGAUUCAUAUGCCAUAUCAUCCAUUUCAUUAUCUUGCAAAGGCUUCUCAUCAUACAGGCUCAAAUCUUUAUCUGUUGUCCCCAUUAAAUAAACCUUUCUUUUUUACGUGUGUCCUCUCAAAACUCAAAACCCUUGCAAACCCUAGAGAGCAAUUUCUAGAGCGAUCUAGCGAUGCUAAAUUGCUAAAUGAUACUAUGAAGGGUAUAAAAAUUGGGCCAAGGCUGGGCCGUUCGUGAUUCUGACUUCGGAGCCUCAUAUCAGAUUCUGU
rnacentral:misc_RNA from 1 species